rnacentral:misc_RNA from 1 species
GGAAGUAAAAGUCGCAACAAGGUUUCCGUAGGUGAACCUGCGGAAGGAUCAUUAAUGAGUUGUCAUGGGGUUCGAUGCUGGCAGCCAAUUUUUGGAUGCAUGUGCUUGCCCUAACAAUCAUCUUCCAAACACCUGUGCACAUUUUUGAGGGAGUCUUGAGUUGGUUGCCGCUCUUGGGUGAUUUUCUCACAUUCCCUUAAAUCAUUAUACGCUAUUAACAAUGUUGAACGUGCUCUGUGCCGCAAGGCUAUUAAUAUAAUACAACUUUUAACAACGGAUCUCUUGGCUCUC